UUUCGAAUCAUUCACAAUGGGCGAAAGCCUGAUGGUGCGACGCCGCGUGAGGGAUGAAGGCCUUCGGGUUGUAAACCUCUGUCACCGGGGAAGAAACGCUUCAAGUUAACAGCUUGAAGCCUGACUUAACCCGGAGAGGAAGCAGUGGCUAACUCUGUGCCAGCAGCCGCGGUAAUACAGAGACUGCAAGCGUUAUUCGGAUUCACUGGGCGUAAAGGGUGCGCAGGCGGCCGGGUGUGUCAGAUGUGAAAUCCCGAGGCUUAACCUCGGAACUGCGUCUGAAACUACUCGGCUAGAGUAUUGGAGAGGGUAACGGAAUUCACGGUGUAGCGGUGAAAUGCGUAGAUAUCAAGAGGAACACCUGAGGCGAAGGCGGGUUGCUGGGCUGAUACUGACGCUGAGGCGCGAAAGCUAGGGUAGCAAACGGGAUUAGAUACCCGCGUAGUCCCUGAGCGGGCUGGCAAGGCGCAU
rnacentral:rRNA from 1 species